GAAAUGCGAUAAGUAAUGUGAAUUGCAGAAUUCAGUGAAUCAUCGAAUCUUUGAACGCACCUUGUGCUCCUUGGUAUUCCUUGGAGCAUGCCUGUUUGAGUAUCAUGAAAUCUUCAAAGUAAAUCUUUUGUUAACUCAAUUGGUUUCUACUUUGGUAUUGGAGGUCUUUGCAGCUUCACACCUGCUCCUCUUUGUUCAUUAGCUGGAUCUCAGUGUUAUGCUUGGUUCCACUCGGCGUGAUAAGUUCUCUAUCGCUGAGGACACUGUAAAAGGUGGCCAAGGUAAAUGCAGAUGAACCGCUUCUAAUAGUCCAUUGACUUGGACAAUACUUUUAUGAUCUGAUCUCAAAUCAGGUAGGACUACCCGCUGAACUUAAGC
rnacentral:misc_RNA from 1 species